rnacentral:ncRNA from 2 species
AAGAGUUGUUCUAAUUCUUUUCGUAUAAUUGCAGGGAUAUGGCCUGCGAGUCUCUACCAAGCUCCCGUAAAUAGCUUGACUACGAAAAAUCACUUGCAGCCU